rnacentral:lncRNA from 12 species
GGGUAUUUCUAAGGGCAGAUGACUGGGAGCCUCAGUAUUUCAAAUUGCUUUAAUGACUGGUAAUGUGUCAUAGAUAAUGAAGAUGAUUUCAGCACUGUGUAGUAGUGGUAUAAUUUAGGGCACAGAUUCAUAACUGGACAAAAAUCCUAAAACAGGCCCGUGGUCAGUUUAAAUAAAAACUCACAGAUUUCCACAGGGUCAUGAAAUUUCUUGCCUCCAAUUUUAACAUCAGGGAUUCCUAAGUUUUUGCUUACCUCUGUGUUUUAGAUGACGCUGUAAGCGGCUGUGUCCCAAUGCCAUCCGGCACAUCACAGCAAACGUGGAUCCAUUACUGCAUGGUGGAUUGCCAGCAGAACAAAGAGUAGUUUCACUUCACUGUAACUUGCUACGCAAGUAAAGACAUGGCUGACAUUUUGGAAAGUUCUUCACAUUGAUGAUGACUUUUGCCGGAGAUGAAAUGUAACGUUCCAGUCUCCAAUGAAAAGGAAAGAUGCGUUGUCUUUCCCUGCAACAAGCACCCAUUAACAUAACUGGAGAAUAAAACAGUCAAGACUUGUAACUUCAUAAUCUGUGUAUUGAAGUGACUGGUGAUACGUGUGUGAUUGUGGAGAUCACAGAGCAGCAAGGGGGUAUCGAUGUACAUUGGAAAAAUGGGGUUAAAGAACUCAGCUUCACACUGAAGAACUUUAUCUGGAAUAACACCAUACGGCAAAUCAGGUGUGGUACCCACCAGACACAGCAGCCUGAGAAUGCAUCUGAAGAUACUACUCUUUCCACUUGGGCCGGCUGGAUAGGCUUUCACAGCUUACCCAGAACUUUAUCUUCAGGGGCGUAUUUGCGUCAUCACUGA